AUGCAUGCUGCUAGCUCCUGCAGAGAGAGGGCCUGUGAGUCAGGAUCCCGGGAGUCAGCCCUGCCGAGGCACCACCAGAGACACUGACGGAGGAUGACCUAGGGGAGGAACAGACCGGAGGGCCCCUCACCACAGAAGCACUGCCAUUCCUGGAUGGAAGAUACACAUCCCAUUGACAAACCAAACAGGCUGUCACAUCAUGAGGAUCUUUUCUUCAGUGCAAGAUGAUUGAGGUUCCUCGCUCACCCAAGACUCUGACAAGGAAAAACAGCCUCUAGAGGCUCUUUGACCCCCACGCAUGAUGAGAUUGGCUGUCCUUUUGCAGCAUCUGACUGCAAAGAACCAUAGGCUCCAUGAUGUCUGAUCAGCCCCCUCCCUUUGUGAAAAGAGAACAUGGAAUUCACACAGGAUUUGGAUUGGGGGGGGUAAGGAGGAGUAAAGAGAUGAGCCAAACAGCAGGCUCUAGGAGGUAGCCCAAGAAAAGUGGUAGAUGUCUGGACCUAACCUAGGUUUCUCUAGAGAGAGGGGAGCAGAUGCCCUUGUGCAUAGAGUGAGAAAGAGGAUCAGUAACCUUCAUGAGAAAAGGAAAACAACUAGUCUGGCUACAGAAAGAGUGGCAGAAGCACAGACCAGUGAGAAGGAACCCUGCUUACCGAGCCAUUUCCCAGCAAGUGUAGAAAGGAGCCAGAGCCUGAGACCCUUAGAGCUUGGCUACCAAGAGCCAGCUGUUACCCUGCAAAAAGAUAGGGACUUCAAAGCAUCUGAGACCUUCAGAGGACUAUACCUGUCCUGGGCUGAAGAGAACAGUUAUCAGGGGACUGUCCCUACUACAAUAACAAGUUAUUUUAAAAAAAAUUCUAGUCCCCCACCACCAAGAAAAAAAAAAGCUGUCUAUGCUCUUGGCUGUUGGCGUUGAAAACUCCAUAUGCUUUUGCAAAGCAAGUUUGUUUAACUCUGUUCAUUACAUUUUUGAAGAAAAGGUCUCAAGAAUUACCCCAUAUUUCACUACCACCACACUCAAAGUCUACAGGCUAGAUCUAUGGCCAGGUGGCACAAAGGGGCUUUAAAACUGCCUUAAAUGGGCAUACCUACCCAUGGCUGGAAUAAAGCUAGCACAGCCAGUUGUAUGCCACCCCCUCAAACUUUGCACUUCCCUUUCCACUGGGCAGCGAAGGGGGCAUGACCAGAGACCACUGCAUUAUGGUGACCCCUAACGUGCAUAAUUUAGAACAGCCCAGAUGCUGCCCAUCAAUUGCACACAAUGGAUGGGGUUCCAUCCCGAGUUUAUCAGGGCCAGUCUUGAGAUUUCUACAGAGGGGGGAAUCAUUAGUUGAAGCUUGUUAGGGGAAGUUAAACAGAGCAGAAUCAGUAAAUGCCUUCAUUCCAGGCAAAUCAGCAAGAGUCACAGCUCAUGAGUAAGGCUGCGAUUUUGUCACGGAGGUCACAGAAUCCAUGACUUCUAAAGACCUCCGUGAUUUCAGCCAGCGUUGGCUGGGAGCUGCUGGGUCCCCUGCCACCUACGGAGGCAGGGACCCCCGCAGCUCUCCAGCAGCCACC